AGAGUUUGAUUCUGGCUCAGGAUGAACGACUAGCUACAGGCUUAACACAUAGCAAGUCGAGGGGCAGCAUGAGAUAGCUUGCUAUUCAGAUGGCGACCGGCGCACGGGUGAGUAACGCGUAUCCAACCUUCCCUAUAGUAGAGAAUAGCCCGGCGAAAAGUCGGAGUUAAUGCUCUAUGUUGUUCAAUGCGGACAUCUAAGUUGAACCAAAGGCUUGCCGCUAUAGGAUGGGGAUGCGUCUGAUUAGGUUGUUGGCGGGGUAACGGCCCACCAAGCCAUCGAUCAGUAGGGGUUCUGAGAGGAAGGUCCCCCACAUUGGAACUGAGACACGGUCCAAACUCCUACGGGAGGCAGCAGUGAGGAAUAUUGGUCAAUGGGCGAGAGCCUGAACCAGCCAAAAGUAGCGUGCAGGAUGACGGCCCUAUGGGUUGUAAACUGCUUUUAUACGGGGAUAAAGUGAGGGACGUGUCCCUUUUUGUAGGUACCGUAUGAAUAAGGACCGGCUAAUUCCGUGCCAGCCGCCGC
rnacentral:rRNA from 1 species